rnacentral:rRNA from 1 species
GGCGGCAGGCCUAACACAUGCAAGUCGAACGCGACCUUCGGGUCGAGUGGCGCACGGGUGAGUAACGCGUGGGAAUCUGCCCUAUGGUACGGAAUAACAUCGGGAAACUGGUGCUAAUACCGUAUAUCCCCUGAGGGGGAAAGAUUUAUCGCCAUGGGAGGAGCCCGCGUAGGAUUAGCUAGUUGGUGAGGUAACGGCUCACCAAGGCGACGAUCCUUAGCUGGUCUGAGAGGAUGAUCAGCCACACUGGGACUGAGAUACGGCCCAGACUCCUACGGGAGGCAGCAGUGGGGAAUAUUGGACAAUGGGGGAAACCCUGAUCCAGCCAUGCCGCGUGUGUGAUGAAGGCCUUCGGGUUGUAAAGCACUUUCGCACGUGACGAUGAUGACGGUAACGUGAGAAGAAGCCCCGGCUAACUUCGUGCCAGCAGCCGCGGUAAUACGAAGGGGGCAAGCGUUGUUCGGAAUUACUGGGCGUAAAGGGCGCGUAGGCGGUGCACUAAGUCAGGCGCGAAAGCCCUGGGCUCAACCCGGGAAUUGCGUUUGAUACUGGUGCGCUCGAAUCCA